rnacentral:lncRNA from 1 species
GGGAUGUGAUUAAAAAAAUUGGGUUCAAUUAUUCUCAUUUGAAAUUUCAUAAAUAAAAAAGAAAAUUUCUUCAAACAUUUUUUUGAGAGGAUUAAUAUUCAACAGCAAAGUGAAUUGCUCUACGAGAAAACAAAAAUUUUAAGUUCAUUAGAACACAUUCAUUCUGUGUCAGAAACCUAUGCUGUGUCAACUAUUUAAUCACAAUCCAAAUUUAGAGCUGAAUCCAGCUUGAAUGUUGUGUCCAUACUUGCCCCAACCGUGCAGGGUUCAACCUCUGCGGUCGUAUAAAGCUACGCCCUGCGGAGCAUCUGGUUUUAAUGAGUUCUGCCCCUUAGAAAUAUUAAUUAGAUAAAAAUUGCAAUGUUAAUGCUCUCGGUGUACAAUUCUUGCUAAACUUUCAUGAAACUUAUUUUAAAGUUUUAUAUUAGCAAUGUUUUGGAUCAAUUAUCAUAAAAGAUAUAUAUAUUUCGUUUAUAAUUAUUAGUUAUACGAAAUUUGAAGAACUGGAAUAUAAAUUGUAACAAAAUAGAGCAGAUAGGAGUACUCGUAUUACGUCCCGUAGCACAUUUUUGCCAGAGUAUUAUCAUAUUCAUAUCGAAGGUACAAUGGACAAUUUUGAAAAUAAUAGCGGUUCAAAUAUGUUUAUAUAAUUAGUAUGCCCUUCGAAAAUAUAAAAUUUAAAUUUAUCAGAAAUUGCUAUGAAUAUUUCAACUGUCUUACAUAUUUAGACUACUUUUUUUAGCUCACCUGUCCCGAAGGGACAAGUGAGCUUAUGCCAUCACUUGGCGUCCGUCGUCGUCCGUCGUCUGUCGUCGUAAACUAUUUCAAGAAUCUUCUCCUCUGAAACUACUGGGCCAAAUACUUUCAAACUUUAACUGAAUGUUCCUUAGGGUAUCUAAUUUAUAAAUUGUAUCCGAAGUUUUGAUCUAUCAACAAACAUGGUCGCCAUUGCUAAAAAUAGAACAUAGGGGUCAAAUGCAGUUUUUGGCUUAUAACUCAAAACCAAAGCAUUUAGAGCAAAUCUGACAGGGGUAAUAUUGUAUAUCAGGUCAAGAUCUAUCUGCCCUGAAAUUUUCAGAUGAAUCAGACAACCCGUUGUUGGGUUGCUGCCCCUGAAUUGGUAAUUUUAAGGAAAUUUUGCUGUUUUUGGUUAUUAUCUUGAAUAUUAUUAUAGAUAGAGAUAAACUGUAAACAGGAAUAAUGUUCAGCAAAGUAAGAUUUACAAAUAAGUCAACAUGACGGAAAUGGUCAGUUGACCCUUUAGGAGUUAUUGCCCUUUAUAGUCAAUUUUUAACCAUUUUUCGUAAAUCUUAGUAAUCUUUUACAAAAAUCUUCUCCUCUGAAACUACUGGGCCAAAUACUUCCAAACUUUAAUUGAAUGUUCCAUCGGGUAUCUAGUUUGUAAAUUGUAUCCGAAGUUAUGAUCUAUCAACAAACAUGGUCGCCAUUGCUAAAAAUAGAACAUAGGGGUCAAAUGCAGUUUUUGGCUUAUAACUCAAAAACCAAAGCAUUUAGAGCAAAUCUGACAUGGGGUUAUAUUGUUUAUCAGGUCAAGAUCUAUCUGCCCUGAAAUUUUCAGAUGAAUCAGACAACCUGUUGUUGGGUUGCUGCCCCUGAAUUGGUAAUUUUAAGG